CCCCCUUUAAUAAAAUGAAAUUAAAUAACAAUAUCAAAUUUACGUUAAAUGACAAAAUUGCCCCUUUUUUGUGCAAAACUAAAACCAUCCAUCUUUGUUAACCUAAAACUUGUGCAAGUGUUCUACACUCAGUGCCGACUCCAUUCAUCUCUAGCUUCUUCGACUGUUGCUCCUCGUCAGCACCAUGACCUCCCUUCCUUUGAUUUUCACAGCAUAUAGUUGUUUCUGUCCAACUUUAUAAAACAUAAGGAGGAAAGAUUGUUCUUCUGAUUUGUAGCAAAAUCUAUGGUUGUUGGAUUGAGUUCAUUGCUCUACAAGCUCUUGAUACCUUCAACUCCUUUAGUGACAAUCUAAAGGCCAAACAACAUAUGUUAAAUUCUUAACUAAUGCC
rnacentral:lncRNA from 1 species